AAUUUCCAGCUGGAGUCUGCAGUGUUCUGGGAAUCCUCGGAUAAUCUGGCGGCGGCUAUAAACAGCUCAGGCCCUCGAUGGCAGCGUGGAGCCCCCGAGCGGCUGGAGAGGGGUCAGGGCUCCCACAGGCAGGAGCCACCUGGACCACCCCAGGCACCAGCGCCCAAGGGGAGGCACAGGGAAGCUCGCAGGAGGAUUCCGUUCCUUUCCAGGUUUCUCAUCCCAGUCUUGCCAGACCUGGUGGCAGGAACAGGGAGAGGACACAACAGCAAUGCAAGAACUGGCACCUGAGUCCCAGCUUCUGUCAGGUUGAUGGCUUGCUUGUUUCCUUUGUAUUUGUUAGGUGCCAAUCUCUGAAGGGCGUUUUGGAGGAAGAAGGUCGCUCUUUUUGACCUUCUCAGAUCUGUGAUCUCAAGGUGUUUUCUGUCUUAGGUCUGCUCUUGUGAAUCUUUCUGAAUCUGUACAAAUUACUUGCUUCUGCUGUUACUAUGGAAAUCUCUGAAAUACUCUGAAAGCUCCAUUUUGUGUCAUUUCCCUCGCUUUGUCUGUGAAAGAUAAAUGCUUCUUCUCAUUCCCUUCUUGCCUCUGGAAAACCUGCAGAACAGAGGAAACAUCUUCCACUCUGGAGGUCACUGUCCCUGGGAUUUCUUAGACAAGAUGGUAAAAAUAUUCUCUUUGAGGACGGUGACUUCAAUCACUGGAUAUUCUCAGCCAAAGAAGGAAACAAGUCUAAUGAUUCUUUCCCAGAUUUGCCUUCCGAGAUAAGGAAGAAUCAGCUGAACUCCUGGGAGAACUCCACUGAGCUCAUGGAAUUUAUAAUCACUGACAAUCAUUUUCUGUGUAGCAUAGCUUCUUACCAAAAUGAGAUUUGUAUUAUCAUACUAUUAGCAGUAAUAUCAUUCUCUUUCCCUGGAGAUGCUUUAUACCUAUGGGACAGUUUUAGCCAAAGCUGACAAAAGAUGUGUAAGUCUGAUUCAAGAUAAAGUUCCAACAAAACUGAAGGCUGUGCAGAAGAGAAAAUCCAUGCUGAGGGGAGGAGAGGGACACCCUGAGUGCCACACUCUGCUCAGCAGGGCCAACAGGCCAAUCCACAGGCAGGGACAUUUCAGAAUACAUGGAGAGAAAUGUGUUAAUGCAGUGGUGUAGGUGGGCAUCUGUGGGGAUAAAGCACACAGAGUGAAAGAAAGGAGCCCUCUCAUCAUUUCCAGUCCUCACAGAAGAACUUGUCUUCCAGCAGUGGAGUUUUUAGAAGGUUGGAGACCGGCAGAGGUGCUGGAAUUUUUCUCCAGAAUUACACUUUGACUCAGCAACACACCAGUUUGGUCAAGCAGUAAAAUGAAAAGUUGCUUUUGAAAAUUUGACACAGAAGUAUAUCCUCAGUAAUUUAGGUUUUCCUUCAGCAGGACACACACAUAUAUCCUGAAAUUUAUACUAGCAGUAAGCACUUGUUAAAGUACCUUGCUGAAUUAUAUUAAAAUGUUAUAAAAAUGUGCAUACAAUAUUCUUCACUGCAGAAUACUGAAUCAGUUAAAUUACUAUAAUCUUGAUGCAAGCAUCUUUACAGAAAUAAUUUUUUUAAGAUUUGGGUGGAAAACCUGAAGUCCUUUUAAACACCCAUCAAGCAGUAUCCUUGGCAGAUAGUCGAUAUCUUGGCUUGACAUGCAGUAUUGGAAGCGUGAUUCCCAAAAUAGCCCAUGGCUGCCAACAGGCUGGUAUCUAACUGGAACAGAAUCUUUUCCAUUUUAUCAGGCAUAUGAUUUUUCAAAGCUCAGCUGGUUGCUGUAACUACAUGAAAGGUUUCCUACAUGAGGCAAGAAUGGGCACUAAAAAAUCAUUAAUGCCAAAAGAGACCAGGGUUAACCAGGGUUAUUGAAACUAAGUCUCUCUUUUUGAUGUUAUUAUGUCCAGCUUGGGGAGCCUGCAUCACAUUUAUAGUACACUGAGUCCUUUUGUGGUUUGCUGAGUGUCUUUAGCAAUGGUGACAUCAGAGAUUGUCACUGUCCUUUACCAGUUCUGGCUGUGCUCAGGCUGUAGUUCAGCCAGGUUCUAUUUGUAACAGAGCCCAAGCCAGAGUGGAUUUCUUAUUUUACUCAAUGGGCCAUGAUUGCUGAGAAGCUCCUGUUCUCUUCUGAAGUAUUGUUUGGCUAGUGCUUAGAAAGGAAAGCCAGAUCCUGGAUAAGAAGCCCAGUUAAUUCUUCCAGUUGCCUGUGUUUGGACCCAUGAUCAAACCAUAAACAAGCAGAAAAAAAGAAUGUGACAGGUAACAGAAACCUCUAAUGGACACAAGAAGACAAACCCGAAAUCCUAUGUAUUUUAACAGUUUUGAUUUGUAUCUCAUCACCUUUAUUUGAGUUUUCUUCGUUCUACUGUUAUAACCUGAGGGGGAUUGUAUGCAUGGUGUUCAGUUACUGCCAGUGCAGCCAUGCUGGAGGCGCAGCAAACUGGGAGGGGUCUGGUGCCAGUCCCUCACUCCUGCCUGUGCUCUCCAGCCAAAGUGGAGUCAUAGGGCUGGGGGCACACAGGAAAGGGGUUGGGAUUGAGCUGAUCAAGUGCUUAUCAUUUUGGGAUUGUCUGUUACUUGGAAACAAUAAUAUUUCAAUCUUACCCAGAGAAUGAAACUCGCUGGGAGCUCGGUUACUCUGAGUAGCUUUAAAAGAGAUUUAAAUGUAAAGUACUUUCAAUAAAUUCUUCUGGAAUGAGCAAUGUGCAUUUCAGUGAGGUGAAGUGAGACUCACUUCCUAAAUUUUUCCUUAUUUCUUCAGCUUCCUGAAAAAUAUUUCUCCUGGGAGCCAAUCUGCUUGUGGAAUCCUUAGGAAGGAAAUGUCUGUGGGCAUCACUGUGAGCACAUGCACCAAGUGCAGCCCCAGGCACCUGCUCUCAACCCAGAUGAAAUCAUGUCCCAGGGAUUUAGUGGAAAAAUCCAGAUGAAUGGGCUGUUUGUGAGACUAUCAGCUAUGAGAGAGAUAAACUCACUAUAAACACACAAAUAGGCCAUCUCAUAGUCAAUAGGUUUCUGUUUUUUC